GAGAGGAGAGCUGCGGGAUAGAGAGUCACUGCAGGGCGCUGAUUGCACAUGCGCGCUGGGCUGAGUAGCCCGACGCUGUCGCGGACGGACGCUGAGGGUUAGGGUCGCGGUCGGAGGCGUGGGCAGGGUGGAGAUCCCACUUUUGGGGAUAAAGUCACCUCCAAAUGUCUGCCUCUCGCAGUGAUACUGGACAGUGGAUUUCAAGGUGACUGAGGGACCAGCCAGAGGGACAGAGCCCGAAUCCCCUUGGGGGCUGCAGUCAGGGCAGAGAGCUGAUCUGCCCACUCCUCAGGAAUGUAUCACGUACCCAUGGAAACAUAAAUAAUUAUUUAUUUGACUUGUUUCAA